UCCCACGCGGGGAGGGGAGGGAAAGGAGGCGCGAGAGGGCAAUGAAACAGGUCUUUAAUGCUUUUACGCGCCAAGGCUGGAUUCCAAGACGGGGGGGGGGGGGUGUGCUUUUCCCGCCGUGCCUAGGUUUCCCCCUGUCAGGUUUCACCUUCAAUCCUUCCCUCUCUGGAAAAGAAAGAAGGAACCAUACUGGGAAUGCCCCCCGAAAGAAAAAGGGUUGGCUCAGAAGCAGACUCGCGCCUCCUCCAAUGGGCCUACGGAUUCUAGCCAGGACUCUCCAGGACCAAUGGGAGACUAGUGUGGCAAUUUCCAGUUGCUCUGUAUUGCUCUGCCUUUCUGUCAAAUAUAGUAUAAAUAAACCCAUGUGUUUGCAGAUCUAGAUAUGCAAGUUGUUUGAAGUGCUUUCUCUGCUGCAUCCUCUCUGGCCAGUGAAAAUAAACCUCUGAUUUUGCCUUCAA